GCCAAUGCUUUAUCCAUUAUCCACCUAGAUGCCCACCAAACAUGAAGAGAUGAAAGGCAAUUUGAAAUGGGGAAGGCAUUAGAAGUUGUGGUGACCAGGAAAGUCCUCCUGUGCAAGGUGGGGAAACCAAGAGACCAGAGGGAAAAAAGGUGAGCGCUGAGGGAGUGGCGGACAGUGCCUGUGAAGGCACAAAGGGAAGAGAUGGCAUGAGGAUAUGUGAGUAAUUACAACAGAGAUGAACUAAUGGUCAUGAGAAUGGAGAAUGGUAACAGGCAAAGAGAGGAUUCUGCCAAUUCCAAAUGACAGGAAUAAAAAGAAGAAGCUUGAAAUGACUGCAACAACAAAAGCGUUGAAGUCCGCUCUUAGAAGAAAGGAGAGAUUGUCCCAAGUCCCAAGUUUCCUCUAUAGGCAACAACAGCUGUCCUGGGGCUAGUGCUGCUGACUUCCAGUGCUGGGAGCACAUAAAUUUUCACUUAAGUACUCCUUUGGCUGCAUUCCACAAAUUUAGGUCACUAUGGAAAAUGAAAAUACAGAUAACUGAUUUCUCCUUGUAUAUAUGCUGCUGUCCUUUAAAGAUAACACUACUACUAACAAUGAUUUCAACUAAGAAGACCAAGGUAAAUUAAAUUUUACUAAGUGGAUUUGCAUUUUGUUGCUUGAAUUUACACUACCUUUGCUAUUGAUUUUAUUCUUUUUGAUCAACAAAAAUCCAUUUUCUUUCCCCA